GUUUGUUUAGUCACACCUCGCACCAAAAUUAUUAAUGGGAUAAAGUAUUGCGUAUUAGUGCAUUGGUUAAGUGAAUUUUGUUCAUCUUGUUUAAGUUUUUGUGAUAAUACAGGUCCAAAUAAAUUUAAACGACAACGAUGUUUAUCCCGACAGUUUGCCACUAACGCUUAUAAUUCUAAAGCAAGAACACAAAAAUUGCUUUUAUGUUUUGGUUGAACGUCAAAUAAUACAGGCACAUGGCUACACCACUUUUCUGGAGGCCCUAAAAGUUCUUCUUGCCUUGUACUUUGUACUAAUCUCGGUUUACCCGAAAAAACUAGAAACUACCCUCCAAAUUGGAAUUUCUUCAAAGAUAUUUUCUAAAACUUCACCCCGAUCAGGGAAGUAAAGCCAGGCAGGUAUCUAAUAGCCUAAAGAAGGUUUUUUUGUCUAAUGAAUUCAAUAAAAAAUAAAAAACAUAAUAAGUACCUAUAAUAUAUAUUUGUUAUAUUAUUAUGCAUAAUAUGUAUAUUUUUUAUGUAGAAAAAAUUUUUUUUUGUUAACAUGUUACAUGCCAUGUAAUGUUAUUUAUUUUGUUUACGUAUAAGUACCUACGACAAUAAUUUGAUGGAAGAAGAAGGUACAUAUUUCCUAUAUUUUGUUUUAUUAUUAUUAGAAUAAUAGGUUUUUGUUAGACAGUGUGAUUUUAAA